CCUACGGGAUGCAGCAGUGAGGAAUCUUGGUCAAUGGGCGAGAGCCUGAACCAGCCAAGUCGCGUGAGGGAAGACGGUCCUAUGGAUUGUAAACCUCUUUUGCCGGGGAGCAAAAAGCGUUACGUGUACCGCAUCGAGAGUACCCGGAGAAAAAGCAUCGGCUAACUCCGUGCCAGCAGCCGCGGUAAUACGGAGGAUGCGAGCGUUAUCCGGAUUUAUUGGGUUUAAAGGGUGCGCAGGCGGCGAGUUAAGUCAGCGGUAAAAUUUCGGGGCUCAACCCCGACAAGCCGUUGAAACUGGCGUGCUAGAGUGGGCGAGAAGUAGGCGGAAUGCGUGGUGUAGCGGUGAAAUGCAUAGAUAUCACGCAGAACUCCGAUUGCGAAGGCAGCAUACCGGCGCCCAACUGACGCUCAGGCACGAAAGCGUGGGUAUCGAACAGGAUUAGAUACCCGAGUAGUC
rnacentral:rRNA from 1 species